rnacentral:tRNA from 1 species
CGCUAAGAAGCUAAACAAGGAGUAGCACUAGCCUUUUAAGCUAGACAUUGGUGACUACCGACCACCCUCAGCGA